UAUUCAUCAAUGGCGGACUCCGUGAGCAGCGUCCAUCGAUAAAAUUGUAAAAUACAAAUUGCAUGCAGGCAAUCGGAUAAAAAAGGGAUACUGGUAUGAUGUCAUUUAAUUAUUAAAACAAGAUUACGGCAUUUUUUUGAUGAAAAUAUAUAAUAAAUGGUUGCAAUAGAUGUUUUUAUUGCCGGGAUUACACCCCGCCUACUUCCGAGUAACAACCAAUGAGAAGCCGAUCGUCCCCAAAUCGCCGUCAUUAGAUGUUUGGAAGUUUGCAGAAUGGAAGCACCUUGCCGGAGCAAUUAUUUUCUCUAAUGUGUGAAAAUAUACCGACAAAAGGCAAAAUACCUUUUGCUGACCUCGAUCUGUAGCUUAGAGAAAGAUUGAUCAAAAGCUGAUAUGAAGGAUUUAUGACCGGGGUGUUUUAGCUUCAAUUCCCUGUACUUAAUGCAGUCAUCCACAUCUGAUGAUGGGCCGAGUAGUUGGACAACCAGAUCGAAUGUUGUCUUCUUUCUACGUGGUGCUGAAGCAUAAAAAGUAAUAUACCUUGUUCUAAAUUCUUUUCCGGCGAAGUUGAUGGUUGAUCCUCGUUGGCAGGUUCUAUGGUGCCACUACUGCCUUGAAAUUCUAUGGAAAAAAAAGAAAAAAAAAUGCAGGUAUGUUGUGCUGGUAGUUGUCUGUUGACUCAGAUGGCAAGUCUACAAAAAACAUCAGUAGUUUCUGGAGGAUGACCGGAAGUGGUGCAUAUCUGGACCUUCGAUGUGAAAAGGUUCAUCAUCAGGACCAUCAUGGAAGAUCAUGUUACCAUCUUCCAUAUGCCACCAAACUCCUUCGCCAGACUUUCUCUAAACCAGAGUAGUAUUUAUGUGUUGCAGCCAACAGAGAAAAGUAACAAAAGGACCAAAAACUGCCACUACAACUGAAUUGUUUAAAUCGGACAUCCAAGUUUGCAUUUGAUGUACAUGAAUAUUGCUUUAUAGCUUUGUGUUACUAAUUUGGUAAUACAAUUUCAGCGAAAUGGGAAAUAAUCUUGAUACAUG